CCUUCGAUAGCUCAGUUGGAAGAGCGCGAGACUGUAAUGGUUACGUAAUCUUGAGGUCGCUGGUUCGAUCCCGGCUCGAAGGA
rnacentral:tRNA from 1 species